rnacentral:lncRNA from 1 species
AAAGUUGGUGCUUGUUAAGUGUUUCAUCGUUAGAUCUAUCUCUUUGGCCAGUUUCAAAUAGAGAUGUCAACGGGUCGGAUUCGGGGCGGAUUUCUAAAAACUUGAAUCCGAACCCGACUCCAAACCCGAGACCCGAAUCCGAAUUCGAACCCGACGGAUUUUAAAAAUCCAUAUCCAAAUCCGAACCCGACGAAAAAUCCGAAAUCCGAACCCGAACCCGAACCCGAAAAUUUGAACCCGAAACAAUUAUUUCUUUUUUCAAUAUUUCAAAAUAUAUUAUAUUAAAUCUAAAUUUUUAAAAUACAAAUUCAAAUAUAACAUCAAAUUUAUAUAUAUAUACUAGUAAAAUGUACGUGCAAAUGCACAUAAUAAUUAUUAGAAGAAGUUAUAAUUUUUUUAAAUUAUUUUUUAAUUUUAGGCUAUAUUUUAUAUGAUUGUCAAAUAUGUAUCUAAAAAAUUUAAAAUAAUAAAUCACGCUAUUAAGAAAGAUAUGCUUUAAAUGAUAAAUAAUUAACAAUAAUCUCUAAU